rnacentral:lncRNA from 1 species
ACAGGCAGUCCCCCAGUCUUCCAACUGAGCCUGUUUCUGCUGCCGACGAGGGAGGGGCCUCUUGGAGGCCUUUUGUGGCCCCUUCCAUCUCCUGCGCCACCAAAUGUGGGCUCUGCAGGGCAGGCGAGUGCCGGUGAGGCAACCUCUGGUCUUGGCGUCCCACAAUCCUCCUCCUCCCCGUUAAGAGAACUUGCGUUUCUUCAUGGCUUCUGCCUUGACCGCCAGGCUCUUGGCACAGAUGGUCAGGACCACAAUGAGAACGCCCACCACAAACGCCACCACCGGCCAGAGGAAGCAGUGCAGGAGAGCGAUCUCAUCGUGAGUGCGCUGUAGGAGAACGUCCUCUGGUCUGCAAGAGAGUGAAGGACAGGAAAACCAGUGAGUCUCUCAGCCCAGCAAACUCUACACAACCUGCAGACAAGUGUUCUCCAGCCCAGGGGAAUAAUCACCCUUGAACAUGAUGACUUUGAUUACAGACACCGAACCAGUCUGCUCCACACCCAUUUCCAAAAGCUGUGAGCUCUCGAAUCAAUCAUUACUGAGGAUGGUACUGAAUGCCAUUAUCACAAUGUGGAACAACCAACCGACUGGAACCACCACACCCGGAGCACGGGCUGGAGAAAAUGGGGAGGAAACAGGCAGGGGAGAAGGAACCAACCGGAAACUGUUGGAUCCAAGAGCGUGUUUUCCUCAGAAACUUUCUAGAAUUCCAUCUCCCAGAUCCUGGGCAACGCUUAUGUUUCAGAGCUUUAAGUGACAAAAUAAAAUGACUCAUUGGAGCUGAA